UUGGGAGGGAGUUUUUGGAGGUAAGGUACCCUUUCUUUUUUUUUUAAUAAGUAAUAGGUACACGAGUGGCUUGUUUGAGAGCAAUACUUUCUUAGGAAGGUUAAGUUUUGGAGGUUUCAAAACCUCCAAAACCCCUACUUUUAAGAAACUUCCAUGCACAACUCCUAAACGGAGUGUUAGGAUCUGAUUUGAGAAAUGCUUUUGAACUGCAUAGCAAGGAAUGAGAAAUGACCUGGAGGCAGAUGAACUCAGAAUUCAGGGUUCUUCAAUAUUCAAACUAAAUUUUAAUUUAGCAUCAUGUUAUAUUUCACAUUUCAAUAUCCUCAAAUACCAUUUUUUAAUUCUGUGGACCAGGUAUAUGAUGUGACAAAAUUCAUGGAGGACCAUCCUGGAGGUGAUGAGGUUUUGCUGUCUGCCACAGGUAUGAAGAUAUACUUGUUGUGAGUGCCAAUUGUUUAAAGAAUCAUGGGCCCACAUUUGCAAAUACCAUUGAUUCUUGUGUGAUUUGCAGGGAAGGACGCAACUGAUGAUUUUGAGGAUGUUGGCCACAGCAGCAGCGCAAGAGCAAUGAUGGAUGAAUUCUAUGUUGGUGAGAUUGAUACAUCAACCAUCCCUUCUAGGAAGGCAUAUACUCCUCCUAAGCAGCCUCACUACAACCAAGACAAGACACCAGAAUUCAUUAUCAAGCUCCUCCAGUUCAUAGUUCCCUUGCUGAUCUUGGGUUUGGCUGUUGGUAUCCGCUUCUACACCAAAAAAACUGAAGCAUAAGUGCUGAAACAAUAACUGGGAAUUGAAAUUCCAAAAGAUGAUUCAAAUAAGCUCAUGUUAGUUAAUUCUUGUAUCACUGUGGAUCUUUUAGGACGUCUGAGUUUGUGAUGAAUGUGUGCUUGUUUCUCCCUGCCAUUCCCUUUUCCUUGUAAGAGUUCAUGUUGUCAUCUUUCUUCUUCUACCCUUCAUAUGCCAUUGGUAAAAACCAUCUUUCCUUUUAUCACAUAAUAUCAUUGCUGAUUUUGGAAACAUGAUCAUGAGAAGUCUGAUCAAUUUAGAAAAUUAUAUAUUAAAAUUCUCAAACUGAUAACAUAGUAAAAACCAGUACCCAGUUAUGUAGAACCUUAUGAUAUUAAUGCAUGGAAAAAUGUAACAGAUGAAUUUGGUGAAUGCAUUAAUCACAUUGGACGGUAUGGCUGUGCACGAUUCUCGGGUCAUGAAAUAAUGAGUCGAGCUGUACUUAUUAAGAUUAAUCGGAAUUGAAAUCGAA
rnacentral:misc_RNA from 1 species